rnacentral:antisense_RNA from 1 species
CUCUGCGUGCGCCGGAGGCUGCCAUGGUGGGUGGGCGGCUUGACUUCUCCUCCCGGCCCCUUCUCGAGCGCCUCGCCGGGCCUCGCCCUGCAGCCUCGCUCUCGCUGGCGCUGCGCGGCCUAGGGGACUGGGCUGCUGGCCUCCGGGUGCGGGGUGGGGGCAGGCUCUGACCUGGGGCGUCCUGGCCGCGCGAGCCGCGGGAUGGGGGCCCGGGCCGCGGAGGAGGCGCCGCUGCUGUGUCUCUUGGUGGAGAGGGCGCUGCCGGCCCUGCGCGGUUUCCAGCCAGGAAGCUUCGGGAAGCCUGGACGUCUGCUCACUGGAGAUGACACGUGCGUGGGGUGUUGGCAUUCUUGUUAUUCAACACAGGAAGGAGGUGACUUCGCCUGUGAUGGACUUCCAGUGUGAGCACUGGCCAGAGUGACCAGGCCGACCAGCACCAGCCCUGAUCCAGAUGCAGAGGCCAGGAUGUGGGCCCAGCCCUGUGCCAGGAGGCUGGCUGGAAUAAAGGGAUGGGCAGGCUGGCAUGGGGGCACCCGCUGCCCCUGCCUGGGUGUUGCUGUGUAUUCCUGCCGGCCAGGGGCCACUGCCAGGACCACGCCUCCCUUUUCAUAUCCCGAUUCUUAAGUUCUGCUAUUGUGGUAUUCUGGUGGGAAAAAAAGAACCGCUUGGCUGUUUUUGAACUGCCUGGAACCUAAGAUCCUGAAUUUUUUCCCCCCCAAGGGGGAAAAUCUAUAUGGAAAACAUUUAUUUUAAAAUACAGGAUGAAGUGAAUUAAAAGAUUUAAAUGCA